CAGUCGAGCGAACAGACGAGGAGCUUGCUCCUCUGACGUUAGCGGCGGACGGGUGAGUAACACGUGGGUAACCUACCUAUAAGACUGGGAUAACUCCGGGAAACCGGGGCUAAUACCGGAUAACACAUGAAACCGCAUGGUUUCAUGAUGAAAGACGGUUUUGCUGUCACUUAUAGAUGGACCCGCGGCGUAUUAGCUAGUUGGUAAGGUAACGGCUUACCAAGGCAACGAUACGUAGCCGACCUGAGAGGGUGAUCGGCCACACUGGAACUGAGACACGGUCCAGACUCCUACGGGAGGCAGCAGUAGGGAAUCUUCCGCAAUGGGCGAAAGCCUGACGGAGCAACGCCGCGUGAGUGAUGAAGGUCUUCGGAUCGUAAAACUCUGUUAUUAGGGAAGAACAAGGAUGUAAGUAACUAUGCAUCCCUUGACGGUACCUAAUCAGAAAGCCACGGCUAACUACGUGCCAGCAGCCGCGGUAAUACGUAGGUGGCAAGCGUUAUCCGGAAUUAUUGGGCGUAAAGCGCGCGUAGGCGGUUUUUUAAGUCUGAUGUGAAAGCCCACGGCUCAACCGUGGAGGGUCAUUGGAAACUGGAAAACUUGAGUGCAGAAGAGGAAAGUGGAAUUCCAUGUGUAGCGGUGAAAUGCGCAGAGAUAUGGAGGAACACCAGUGGCGAAUGCGACUUUCUGGUCUGCAACUGACGCUGAUGUGCGAAAGCGAUGGGGAUCAACAGAUUAGAUACCCUGGCUAGUCCACGUCGUAAACGAUGA
rnacentral:rRNA from 1 species